rnacentral:rRNA from 1 species
UGGGGAAUAUUGCACAAUGGGGGGAACCCUGAUGCAGCGACGCCGCGUGAGUGAAGAAGUAUCUCGGUAUGUAAAGCUCUAUCAGCAGGGAAGAAAAUGACGGUACCUGAUUAAGAAGCCCCGGCUAACUACGUGCCAGCAGCCGCGGUAAUACGUAGGGGGCAAGCGUUAUCCGGAUUUACUGGGUGUAAAGGGAGCGUAGACGGCGAUGCAAGUCUGGAGUGAAAUGCCGGGGCCCAACCCCGGAACUGCUCUGGAAACUGCAUGGCUGGAGUGCAGGAGAGGUAAGUGGAAUUCCUAGUGUAGCGGUGAAAUGCGUAGAUAUUAGGAGGAACACCAGUGGCGAAGGCGGCUUACUGGACUGUAACUGACGUUGAGGCUCGAAAGCGUGGGGAGCAAACAGG